rnacentral:rRNA from 1 species
GACGAACGCUGGCGGCGUGCUUAAUACAUGCAAGUCAACUUGACUUUAGAUAGCAAUAUCGAAAAGUAGGGUGGCGCACGGGUGCGUAACGCGUAGGUAAUCUGCCCUGAGGUCUGACAUAACCCGUCGAAAGGCGGGCUAACAUCAGAUGAUAUAUAAUCACGACAUCGUGGAAAUAUCAAAUCUUCGGAGCCUUGGGAUGAGCCUGCGUCUGAUUAGGUAGUUGGCGGAGUAAUAGCCCACCAAGCCUACGAUCAGUAGCUGGUCUGAGAGGAUGAUCAGCCACACUGGAACCGAGACACGGUCCAGACUCCUACGGGAGCAGCAGUAAGGAAUAUUGCUCAAUGGGGAAACCCUGAAGCAGCAACGCCGCGUGAAGGAUGAAAUACUUUUGUAUGUAAACUUCUGUAAGAUGGGAAAAAUAUU